UGGCGGACGGGUGAGAAAUACAUGGGAAUCUGCCCAGUCGUGGGGGAUAACGUAGGGAAACUUACGCUAAUACCGCAUGCGCCCUUCGGGGGAAAGCCGGGGACCUUCGGGCCCGGCGCGAUUGGAUGAGCCCAUGUCGGAUUAGCUAGUUGGCGGGGUAAUGGCCCACCAAGGCGACGAUCCGUAGCUGGUCUGAGAGGAUGAUCAGCCAGACUGGAACUGAGACACGGUCCAGACUCCUACGGGAGGCAGCAGUGGGGAAUAUUGGGCAAUGGGGGCAACCCUGACCCAGCGACGUCGCGUGGGUGAAGAAAUCCUUCGGGAUGUAAAGCCCUGUUGUAUGGGAAAAGCAGAAGACGGUACCAUACGAGGAAGCCCCGGCAAACUACGUGCCAGCAGCCGCGGUAAUA
rnacentral:rRNA from 1 species